AGAGUUUGAUCCUGGCUCAGAUUGAACGCUGGCGGAAUGCUUUACACAUGCAAGUCGAGCGGCAGCGCGGGGCAACCUGGCGGCGAGCGGCGAACGGGUGAGUAAUGCAUCGGAACAUGUCCAUGUCGUGGGGGAUAGCCCGGCGAAAGCCGGAUUAAUACCGCAUACGCCCGAGAGGGGAAAGUGGGGGACCGCAAGGCCUCACGCGAUUGGGUUGGCCGAUGUCCGAUUAGCUAGUUGGCGGGGUAAGAGCCCACCAAGGCGAUGAUCGGUAGCUGGUCUGAGAGGAUGAUCAGCCACACUGGGACUGAGACACGGCCCAGACUCCUACGGGAGGCAGCAGUGGGGAAUUUUGGACAAUGGGGGCAACCCUGAUCCAGCCAUUCCGCGUGAGUGAAGAAGGCCUUCGGGUUGUAAAGCUCUUUUGUCCGGAACGAAACGGGUGCGGCCAAUACUCGCGUCUACUGACGGUACCGGAAGAAUAAGCACCGGCUAACUACGUGCCAGCCGCCGCGGUAAUUC
rnacentral:rRNA from 1 species